rnacentral:rRNA from 1 species
GACGAACGCUGGCGGCAUGCUUAACACAUGCAAGUCGAACGGAAAGGCCCUGCUUUUGUGGGGUGCUCGAGUGGCGAACGGGUGAGUAACACGUGAGUAACCUGCCCUUGACUUUGGGAUAACUUCAGGAAACCGGGGCUAAUACCGGAUAGGAGCUCCUGCUGCAUGGUGGGGGUUGGAAAGUUUCGGCGGUUGGGGAUGGACUCGCGGCUUAUCAGCUUGUUGGUGGGGUAGUGGCUUACCAAGGCUUUGACGGGUAGCCGGCCUGAGAGGGUGACCGGCCACAUUGGGACUGAGAUACGGCCCAGACUCCUACGGGAGGCAGCAGUGGGGAAUAUUGCACAAUGGGCGGAAGCCUGAUGCAGCAACGCCGCGUGCGGGAUGACGGCCUUCGGGUUGUAAACCGCUUUCGCCUGUGACGAAGCGUGAGUGACGGUAAUGGGUAAAGAAGCACCGGCUAACUACGUG